rnacentral:rRNA from 1 species
UAGGGAAUCUUCGGCAAUGGACGAAAGUCUGACCGAGCAACGCCGCGUGAGUGAAGAAGGUUUUCGGAUCGUAAAACUCUGUUGUUAGAGAAGAACAAGGACGUUAGUAACUGAACGUCCCCUGACGGUAUCUAACCAGAAAGCCACGUCUAACUACGUGCCAGCAGCCGCGGUAAUACGUAGGUGGCAAGCGUUGUCCGGAUUUAUUGGGCGUAAAGCGAGCGCAGGCGGUUUCUUAAGUCUGAUGUGAAAGCCCCCGGCUCAACCGGUGGGGGUCAUUGGAAACUGGGGGACUUGAGUGCGGAAGAAGAGAGUGGAAUUCAAUGUGUAGCGGUGAAAUGCGUAGAUAUAUGGAGGGACGCCAGUGGCGAAGGCGGCUCUCUGGUCUGUAACUGACGCUGAGGCUCGAAAGCGUGGGGAGCAAACAGG